rnacentral:rRNA from 1 species
UACAGGGGGGCAAGCGUUGUUCGGAAUUACUGGGCGUAAAGGGUCAGUAGGCGGCCAACUAAGUCCGACGUGAAAUCCCAAAGCUUAACUUUGGAACUGCGUCGGAUACUGGAUGGCUUGAAUUCGGGAGAGGGAUGCAGAAUUCCAGGUGUAGCGGUGAAAUGCGUAGAUAUCUGGAGGAAUACCGGUGGCGAAGGCGGCAUCCUGGACCGAGAUUGACGCUGAACGACGAAAGCUAGGGGAGCAAACGGG